AAAAUAUCAAUAAUAAAAAUAAAAACAUUUAAAGGGCCCAUAUCAUGCAAAAUCCACUUUUUAGACAUUUUGGAGCGUUCCUAUGACUCUAUGGGUCACAUAUACACACACUGAGCACGGUAGAAAUGCAUUUCCUGCUUUUUUCACAUUUUGAAAACGUAAAUUUUCUUAUCCAAUGAAAACAGCCACGACCUACUCUGAGGCCGUUCCCCAGUUCUCGUCACACUGGUUGAAAGUUCUCCUUGCAAAUCCUGAACCACCACCCCCACAAUGAUCCCGAACCAAAACUGGACUUCCGCCAUUUCCCCCCUCUCACUCACCGUGAACAGACCAGCACGGCAGCGCCCAAGUCCUCCCAUAGAAAUAGUUCGGUUCUUGGGUGUUCUAACCAACACCAAAGUCUAUUCAUUUUACCAGGGAACAACAAGUGAGGAUUUGUGGGUCACUUUUAUUUUUAACGGACCGGUGCCAGAAACACUGCCUCAGCAUUUAUACGUAUGUGCAUUUCAAACGAGGGUGCGUACAAUGCUGGAUUUGUUUCACGGCUCCUGUUGGAAAAAAAGGACCUAUUCCUAAAGUCCGUCAUCCACUCACUGAAGAGGGCAAAUCCCAGUUGCCCACAUGCAAGGAGGCUGUCAAACAGAGAAAUCACUGCAGACUGUUGGUACACAGACAUCUGCUGCCCAGCUCAGGAGUAAAGGUGAUGGUGAGGACAGCCACAGCUUCCAUCUGGUAGAGGACUGCUUCCGCUCAGUCUUCCAAAUAGUGAUGAGAACAAGGAUCACCACAUCUCCCUGUUUACCCUACUUUCAUGCAUUUCGUCUGCAAGGCCCUGCAAAAGCUUCUCCUUCGUCCUCAAACCCCCAGACUUCUUAAUUAACUCAGUAACCUAUACAUUGCACAUUGGAGUGUGAAGGUAACAGUUUGUUCUAGCUUUGGCGUAGUGGUGUAUUUUUUUGGUUUACAAUAAAGUUGGCUUUAACUAUUAUGUAUUUCACUGAACUCUGUUUCUGAAGGUAAAACACUUUUAUUUAGGAAAUCAUAGUAUUGAAAUUACAUGUUUUUCUCUUUCUAAUAUGGUAAGCUAUAAAGUUGAAGCGGCCAUAAAUAAAACGCAUAUAAAUUAUAUAUAAAUAAAGUUUAAAAAAUUCUUAAUGAGUGUUGCACUCACAAAAAACAAAUUUUUACUCAAACGGUAAAGGAGUUAUUCUACAGGUGGUCUACAUCAAUCAUACUAUGAGUGUUUUAGUGUUUUAUCCAUCAGGAAACUGCCUUCAUCUACAACCCAAGCAUGAAGAGAUGGCAACUCAGAUUCUUCACCCCAGGAAUCCUCAGCACCAGCUCACUAGCCUCUGUAGACUAGAUACCUGUAACAACUUUAGAUACAGAGACAUAUUACUGUCAAAUUUAUCAUGAAUGACAAAAAACAUAAUUAAAAGCAGUAAAAAUACGUUAGGUCAAUAUAUAAUUUGAACCAAUGCUUUUUGUUCCCAGGUAGGUCAUGCAGUGAUUGCUCUAAAUAUUAAUGCACAUUUUUUAAAUAAAAUUGUCAGAGCAGCAGCACAAGUAAGACAAAAACAGUGAAAUGUGUAAAUGUAAAAUGUAUUUAUAUUAUUUCAGCUAUGCUCUCAAACUUAUUUAUUUGUAUAAUGUGAGCUAAAGUAGUGUUUUCUAUUAGUGAGAGUUUUCCAGGUAAGUCGUGUUGUGAAUAUUGAAGCUGCACACGCCAUUUAGCAUUCGCAUUAGCAACCGCUAGUCGCUUUGCAAAUUACAUAAAUCAAUUAAAUUGAAGUAAAUGCGACAUUACCAAUGAGACACAUCUUGCAUCAGCCGAAAUGUGGUGACUUCAACAGCCUCCUCUUCAGCUUCAGGGUCAGAUUCGGGAUCGUAGAUGUAUGGUUCUACUACGCUAUGAACCAGCUGACUAAUGUCGUGCAGUUCUGUAGUGGGUCGUCUUCUUCUGUGGUGGAUUGCAUUCUCAAUGUCGCACUACUGCCACCUAUUGUAUCCUAACCGUGCGGUGGCUCGUAUCCAUGGAGCCAAUUUAAAAAAAAAACAACAACAAAAAAGGUAUGCGCUUCCGCACAGAGGUGUGGUGAGCAGCUUCGCUUGCGACACGCCCAGAAAACACAGCGUUUGCUGAUGGGGAGUGAGAACCACAUAUUGACAGGGGCAGUGUGGACGAUCUAAAGGGUUUUAUGGGAUGAAAAUUUACAGAGACCUUACUGAGACAUUAAAGUCAAAUAUUUUUUAGAAUGAAAAGCAUGAUAUGACUCCUUUAAUAAAUUCAUGUUUUGCUUAUUGUAAAUCCCUUUAUCAUUUUUUAAACUAUAUUUCCGUUUUGACUUCAAGAAACACAAAAUCCAGUGUUUGAGUAAUAAGAAUAAAGAAGAAGACUUAUAAAUAAUAAUAAUAAUAAUAAUAACAAUAAUAAUAAAUAUAAAUCAGAAUCAGCUUUAAUGGCCAAGUUUGCACAGGACAACCAAGGAAUUAUAUGCGGUCUGACUCCAUCUUUGUUCCCUCGUGACAAAAAAACAAAUUAUUUAGAAUUUUAAUUAUGGUUAUUUACAAAAAUCAACAAAUAAAGAAUAAAAACUGUAGCUCGCUGGAAAGCAAGGAAAGCAAGCAUAGAGUUUUGUUCCAACGUGAAGAUCUGCAGCAGCUCCAGCCAACGACUGUGGUAAAAAAAACAUGAAGACACGGGAGAACAUGUAAACUCCACUCCUGGUAGCCUGGACUCCUGGGCCCCUUCUGGCCUCUGAGGCACAAAGUAACUUUUAACACAGCUGCACUUAAAGCUCCCUUAUCUUACAGCUUUUCACUCUAAUGAAUAUUGGACUCCAAUGUGUUAGUAAGGUCUCUGUAAAUUUUCAUUCCAUAAAACCCUUUAGAUCGUCCACACUGCCCCUGUCAAUGUGUGGUUUUCACUCCCCAUCAUUAAAAGAUCUGUUUUCUGGGCGUGUCGCAAGCAAAGCUGCUCGCUACACCUCUGUGCGGAAGCGCAUACCUUUUUUGUUGUUGUUUUUUUCUAAAAAAUGGGCUUCAUGGAUACGAGCCACCACACAGUUAAGAUACAAUAGGUGGCAGCAGUGCGACAUUGAGAAUGCAAUCCAACGCAAUCCUCCACAGAAGAAGACCCACAGGACAAUGGCCAGCUGGUUCGGUAGCGUAGUACGAUACCGAAUCUGACCAUAAAGCUGAAGAGGAGGCUGUUGAAGUCACCACAUUUCGGCUGAUGCAAGAUGUGUCUCAUUGUUAAUGUCGCAUUUACUUCAAUUUAAUUGAUAUAUGUAAUUUGCAAAGCGACUAGCGGUUGCUAAUGCGUAUGCUAAAUGGCCUGUGCAGCUUGAAUAUUCACAACACGACUUACCUGGAAAACUCUUUAAAAUAGAAAACACUACUUUAGCUUACAUUAUACAUAUAAAUAAAAGUUUUAAAGCAUAGCUGAAAUAAUAUAAAUACAAUUUACACUGUUUUUGUCUUGCUUGUUCUGCUGCUCUGACAUAAUUUCAUUUUCGUAUUUUUACUGCUUUUACUUGUUUUUCAGUAAUGUUUAUUGAUCAUUCUUUAUAAACCUGACCUUAAUAUGUCUCUGUAUCUAAAGUGGUUACAGUCUAGUCUACAGAGGCUAGUGAGCUGGUGCUGAAAGAAUCUGAGUUGCCAUUUCUUCAUGCAUGGGUUUUAGAUCAAGGCAGUUUCCUGAUGGAUAAAACACUCACUGUAUGUUGAAUGUAGACCACCUCUGGAAUAACUCCUUUACCAUUCGAGUAGAAAUGUGUUUUUUGUGUGUGCAAUACUCAAUAAGAAUUUUUUAAAUAAUUGAAUUUUUAAUUUAUAUUUACACAUGCUUUUUUCUGUUGGCUGGUUCACCUUUUAUAGCUUACCAUAUUAGAAAGAAAAAAACAUGCAAUUUCAAUACUAUGAUUUCCUGAAUAAAAGUGUUUUCCCCCUCAUAAAAACAGAGUUCAGAGAAAUAUGUAAUAGUUAAAGCCAACUUUAUUGUCAACCAAAAAAUGCAUCACUACAAAGCUGGAAAAAACUGUUACCUUCACACUCCAAUGUGCAAUGUAUAGGUUACUGAGUUAAUUAAGAAGUCUGGGGGUUUGAGGACAGAAGCUUUUGCAGGGUCUUGAUGAUGCUUGAUGGAUAUGGGGUAGGGGGUAAUCUUGGUUAUGUUGGAGACUUGUUUCUGCAGCAGGACAGGUAUAGUUGUAGACAGAUGACCAGGGAGAUGUGGUAAACCUUGUUCUCAUCACUAUUUGGAAGACUUUGAGCAGAAUCAGUCCUCUACCAGAUGGAAGCUGUGGCUGUCCUCACCAUCACCUCAUCAAAACAAAUGUACUGCAAUCAGAGUUGUAGAUUAGUGAAAUGUUCAGUAUUAUGUAGGACAAAACCUUCUCUAAUGUAACAAUACACAAUACCAGACAAAAAAUUAAACCAAACAAGAGGACAGGCCUUCCUGUGCUAAAACAUCAGAUAAACAUAGUUGUUACAAUUCAAACAUAAAAUCUAAACCGUCUAUACCAAUUAAAAUCUUCUAUUGCCUGUCUUACUGUUGGUACAUACCUACAUACAAAUGUACAUACCUUCACUCCUGAGCUGGGCAGCAGAUGCCUGUUUACCAACAGUCUGCAGUGAUUUCUCUGUUUGACAACCUCCUUGCAUGUGGGUAACUGGGAUGUGCCUCUCUACAGUAUAGAAAAAGACAAUGUUACAUUUACUGUAAAUUGUGUUGGUCCUACAAAUAUAAUGGCUACAGUACACAAGCUAUAGUCCUUUCCACUAUGCACCUGAGAGAUAUUUGAAUGCAUUUAUAAGGGAAAACCCCAGAUGCAAUGUACAGGAAGGGUCAGAGCAGACUCUACCUCCCAAGGAGACUGCGGCCUUUUGGAGUGAGAGGACCACUCCUGAAGACCUUCCAUGACUCUGUGGUGGCAUCAACCAUCCUGUACGAUGUGGUCUACUGGGGCAGCAGCAUCACAGUGAGGGACAGGAAGAUACUGGGCAGGGUCAUCAAAAAGUCCAGUUCUGUCCUGGGCUGCACUCUGCAGGAGAAACAAAGAGGAAGACGAGCUUCAAGUCUGUAUCUCUGUAAGGAAUGUAACCAAGCCUUCACCAGACUAUCAGAGGCGAAGAUGCAUCUGAAGAGUCAGUCUGGAGAGAAACUAUACAGCUGUGACCAGUGUGGCAAAACCUUUACUGCAAGAAGUAUCCUAAAGUCCCACCAGCGAAUUCAUACAGGAGAAAGACCGUACACUUGCACUGAAUGUGGAAAAACUUUCCAUGGGUUAUCCACCACUCUCCACUGUUGUGUUAACACUAGAGAGAAGCCUCACAUAUGUGAGCAAUGUGGAAAAGCAUUUUGUCACCUCAGUGGGUUACUGAGCCACCAUAAGGUUCAUACUGGAGAAAAACCUUACUCAUGUGAACAGUGCAGAAAAGAGUUCUCCUACUGUCAUAGCUUACUGAAGCACCAACGUGUUCACACGGGAGAGAAACCAUACUCAUGUAAACAAUGCAGAAAGGCAUUCGCUUACCUCAGUGAGCCACAAACGGGUUCACACUGAAGAAAAACCUUACUUAUGUGAACAUUGUGGAAUAAAGUUUCCUGAUCGCAGUGCCUUGCAGAAACACCAACAUAUUCACACUAGAGAAAAACUUCACUAGUGUGAACAGUGUGGAAAAGUAUUCUUUCAAUUAAUUAACUUAAUUUGACUUGUGGUUCAACAGAUCAAGUACAUUAAUAUCUUGCUGUAUCACGUUUUAAAGAAUGCAAGGGAUCAAAAAUAGAUAAUAACAUCAAGCACGGAAGUUAAUUGCUAACAACCUGAACUUUUUGUCAAAGUGAGACAAAGCUUAGAUUAUGUCUGAACAAGAUGUUGGGUAAUACUGAUAAACAAAGUGGUUUAACUGGUUGGGUGAGAGAUUGUAGUUGAGCGACAGUCUGCAUGAAAAUUGGGAAACAAGGGAAAGAAAGAGGUCUUUGGAGGACAUUCUGCCUGAAAAAGGCACCUCCACUGCUGAGUGGUUAAGCCUCUGCAUUAGGCAGGAUGAAGCAUCAAGGAGAACCUCUACUUCAGAGUGUAGACUGCUUUGGAAAGAGACUCUCACCAAACCAUCUUCUACACAUCUUCAAUUCUCCAGCUAGCCUCAAAUUUUCCAGAGACAAAUAGGUUGUGAGUAGAUUAGGUAAGAGUUGAUAUUUUUCGAAUGAUUGAAUUGUGUUUUUUUUAGUAGUAUUACAAUAUUAUAAAUUUAUAUAUAAUACUGUAUAUAAUAUUAUAUAUUUAUAAUAUUAUUUAAUAUAUUACAAUAUAUUACUUGCCUUGCCUUAAUUUUAUCCAAAUAUGUUUUUGUUUGUAAAUAAGCCUAUACUGUCUCCCCUUGUUGAUAUAAAAGUUCCAGAUCAUGUGUGUCUGAGUCAGGCUCACAAGGCUCUUGUUAGUUUGAUCUAGACCCAGAAAUUAACAAAAUACUAAAAGUAUACCUAUCAACAAAAAUUAUUUCGGCAACCACAACAAGUGUUACAAUUUAGAAGGAAUCUGCUCAAACGCAUUAGUGUCUGUAAUCUCAGGGUUGUACAGGUGCUAAUUGAGUGUGAAGCAGGGUGGGAAUAGGGAUUACGAGCAGUGAAUAGCUGAAUGCGAUCUUUUCAGCGUAAGUUGAAGACCUGUAUUGGUAUACCUCACAGAGGCAAACAAAUGAACCACUUUAAUGCGUGACGCUGACCUGAUCUCUUGUAUUGGAGAUUCAAGGUUAACAAACACAUGGUUCACCCGUAGCGGUAAAUCAGACAUAUAAGAGAUAUAUGUUUGUUGUAGGGCAUAUUAUAGCGUAGUGUGGUAGUAUACUUAUAAGUGCAGGGAGAGUUUGAACUUGAUAGCACCGAAACUUAUACAAAACUACAAAUCAAUCAAAUAAACAUAUGUCCGCUCGUUUUUAACACCAUUUUUAAAUAAAUGUUACUUUAUAACCCAAACCAACAAUUACAUAAACUUACGGCAUUGUGUCUAGGGUGUUUCUCAUCAGAUGGCGAUAGAUUCACAUAGCAUCCGCAUGUGCCUAGGUUCUUCCGCAUUUCAAAAUGGUAACAGGAAAUAUCAUGCGAGAUUUCCCGCGAAACAGGAAGUAGCGUCACAUGUCACGAGAUUAUCAAAUUAGCGCUUUCAUAACACAACAGAAACAUUUUAACAAUUAUUACACACACACACACACGUAAACACUUUCGUAACACAAACAGUGUGACAUCACAGCUGCACACAGCUCUCAUCUUGGGACAGUCGGGAUAAAUUGCGUGCCAGCUUCGCCUUGCCCAUGACAAAUCCCACCUUGGCCCGGCCAUGUUCUUGAACUGUUCUCAGAUGAUGCUGCAGCUUCCUCUAUCUUCUCACCCCAACCCGUCGAGGCAGAUGGCCGCCCACAUCCAGUCUGGUUCUGCUGGAGGUUUCUUCCUCGUUAGAGGGGGAGUUUUUCCUCUCCACUGUUGCUGUCAAAUUAAAUGCUUGCUGUAUGUGGGAUUUGUUGGGUUUAGUUGUGUGAGGUUUUAAACCUUACUUUGUAAAGUGCCUUGAAAUAACUUUGUUGUGAUUUGGCGCUAUAUAAAUAAAAUUGAAUUGAAUUCCUUACAUACAAUUUUAGACACAGUGGCUUCUCUGAAGAAGAACUCAGUGAUUUAGAUGUUAGCCCCAUCGUAUAACUCAGGGAUCUGCUGCCUAAAGCACAGGACCUGUCAACUAAAAAAGGCAGUUAUUUUCAAUAAAAUAAAUGUAAACUGCAUAGCAUGGAAGGACAGGCUAAUAAUAUAUAAUAAAGCACUUCGUGCUGCUUGAAAAACACAUUAUUCUUCCCUAAAUUAAGGGAAAACAAAAACAACCCCAGGUUUCUUUUCAGCACUGUAGCCAAGCUGACCAAGAGUCAUAACUGAGUUGAGCCUACUAUCCCCUUAAAUCUCAGCAGCAAUGACUUUAUGAACUACUUUACUGAAAAAUCACCAUUGGAGAAAACAUCAGUGACUUCCCCCAAAUGACAGAAAUCACUGUCUAAAUCCAACAACUUUAAUAAAUUUACCUAGUCCUCUGUCUUACUUCGAGAGCGUUUCCCCCAUAACUUAUAUGGAAUUAACUUCAAUAAUGAACUCAUCCAAGUCGUCCACCUGUCUUUUAGACCCAAUCCUAACCAGAUUAAAAAAGUUCUACCCAUAAUCAACUCGUCCAUAUUAAAUCAAAUCAACUAAUCUUUACAUAUACAGCGGGGUAAAUAAGUAUUUGACACAUCAGCAUUCUUAUCAGUAAGGGGAUUUCUAAGUGGGCUAUUGAUACAAAAUUUGCACCAGAUGUAGCUAUCAAGCCAAGUAAUGAAUUCGCAUAAAGAAAUCAGAUCAUUUAAUUAUAUAAGUUGAGUAAUAAUAAAUAAAGUAAAAUUAUACAGGGAAUAAGUAUUGAACACAUGAAGAUAACAAGGUGAAAAAUGGCAUAGAAAGCCAGGAGAUCACCUGAAAUCCAUCAAUAUUGUUAGAGAAACCCUGCCCCCUAUCAUUACUAAGCUAUAUAUUUGCUUGAAUUUUAUUUUAUUUUAUUAUUUUUGGUAAAUGGUCUUAUAUACUUAUAAAGCGUAUUUAAACACCAUUCCACGAUCCAAAGCACUUUACAAUACUUCUCAUUCACCCAUUUACUCUCACGCACUGAAGCCAGCAGCUGCAGUGCCAUGUACCAACGCUUGCUCGCAACAGCAGGGGCAACUUGGGGUUUUGCCCAAGGACACUUCGGCAUAUCGACAAAGGAGAGGGCUUGAACCACCAACCUUGUGGUUAGAGGAUGACCCUACCAAAUGCUAUACUAUAUUUUAGUGGCAGAAUUAUCUCAGUUAUGUUGUUAUACAAAUGCUAUAGAGAGUAUAAAAUUAGUUUGAUGAGAAUCACACCACAGCUUUGUCCAUCCUGUUGAACGGGGUGGCUCCUAUAUCCAGCUUUCCACUUUACAGUAGGUCCACCCAGUCAGGUUUUCCAUGAAACGCUUUCAACAGCUCCCUAAGCAAGCUUAAUGUGGUAAUUAGAAUGCAAAUGACAAAGAGUUUUUUGUUUUGUUUUUAAAUCAGAGAAAUCUCACAAAUAGAUCACUUAAUAGUGUACCGGCAUACAGUAUAUUUACAACUACUUCCCACUUUAGGUUGAUUGGCCUCUCUUCGUUGCCCAUAGGUGUGAGUGCAUGUGUAAAUGGUUGUUUGUCUCUGUGUUGCCCUGCGAUGGGCUGGCGACCUUUCCAGAGUGUACUCUGCCUCCUGCCCAUAGCCAGAUGGGAUGGGCUCCAGCACCCUGCGACCCCGCAUAUGGGAUGGAAAAUGGAUGGAUGAACAAAAUAAAACAUUAUUUACUGGAUGUUUUUGUUGCAUCUUCAGAAUCCUGCAACUCUGGUGUUGAAGCAGCUGGAUCCACCAGAUACACCAUGUUUCUUGAAUGGUGGAUCACAAUUCAACUACAAUAUUUAUAAAUAUAUGAGUUCAAUGUAUUCAAUAAAUUCAAUUCAAUGAAUUCAAUUACACCACAAUGUGUUUUGGUGAAGGACAUGCAAAAGACUUCAAUAUUGGUAAAUUUUACUUAUGCCUUAAGACCUGGGGUCUCAUGUACAAAGACUUGCGUAGAUCUCCUACUAAACAUGGCGAAAGUUAAAAUCCAGAAAACUGCGUAAAUACAGUUGUAGCAAUCGCUACUAAGUAUGAAUCUACGUAUGUUUCCUUCAUACUUACCAAUCAACGUAGAAUUGAGCACAGUUGAUUCAGUAGGAGACUCUUCAUGACACGCCUCCAUAUAAAUAUGUUAAUUAAUUUGAUUAUGGUUUGCGUCUAAGCAGUACGCAGAGUGGGACCGCGUGUGCAGAUGUUAAUGCUGCAGGUUCCGCACAGUAGCGGAAAUAAAAAGAUAAAAGUAGUCCCAGUUUCACCUCUUUGUGACUAAUAGCUGUAGAAAAGAACUUGCUCCAGCCAACAAGCUACCAUAGAUUUGUGCAUGUUUCUACUUUACGUUACAUCCUAAAAAAGAAAAUUGUUAGUAUAGCAGUAUACAUUUUAUUCAACUAAUGUAAUUAGACAUGCAGUCUACUGAUUGUAAUCACAAGAAAAAAAAAAUAAAAAGCAAUAAGACAAAAUAAACAUAAGACAAAACUGCAAGCCCAUGGAUCAGGAUUGGGAACAACAGCAAAAUACAAAGAACACACAGAAAAGUAUAUGAAAAUAAAGGUUAUUUAUCCUUACAGAUAUUAAACCUCACAAAGCUUCUAGUGAUAUUGUUGGUCAAUUACCUCACAUGGCUACAUGUAAGGUAAUUGACCAACAACAUUUUUCUAUAACAAACGUCCUAUGAAGCAAAAACAUGUUGCUCGGUAAGCUAUCUUACUUAUCUAGCUUCACGUUAGUUCAACUGUAGUCCGUUUUACAUGAUUCUUUGACUGAGAAGAAUCCAACCGAGGUUUUUCUGCUGCGGCAAGGAAUCAGGCAGGCAUCUCUAAAGCUUUCAACAGUCAGGUUAGGUGUGCAGUAGGUAUGUUUUAAAGGAAUGGGGGGAAAGCUCCCCCAUUCAUUUAAAACAAUGAAGUGAGGUGCUCUAAAUAGGAGUGAAAUCUAUGUAUGAGCACGUAAAACUAUAUCCACCACAGCAAGUUCCGAUGUCAGCGGUGCCACCACUGAUUUAAACUGCUACAGUUUCGAGCCGACCCAGAGUAAACAUAAGAAUAUACAUGUUGCAGCAAUAACGAGUGGAUCUGCAACUUAUGGCGUUUUAAAACCUAAAUAAGUGGCUGUAGUUGCAUAUGGACUGUGCUCUACGUCAUUAAGAGGCCAUGUGCGCUGAAUUUAUUAGUUACUAAUUAGUAUUAUUAGUAUUAGUACCACGAACCAUAAUCACAAAAUAUGUGAAGCCAAUAUAUUAUAUCAUACGUUAGAGUGGUGGUGGGUAUGUACAUGUUCUUAAGAGAUGCCUGCUAUCUAAGGACACAAAAAAGCGGAGGAGAAUAAAAACAAGAAUGUUUUGCUGCUGUGGCUCAGAUCUGUCUUAAACUAGACAGAGCACUUAUACCUUUGUAGUGAACAGAAAAUAACUAAGAAAUCAACUAUGUGGUUCAGAAAAAAAAUUGCAUAGUAAGAGCACUUACAAGGGAUCGAACUCAUGGCAACUCAUGGCAACUAUUGAAGACACUAGUCACCCAAUGUAACCACUGGAGGAGUGAGUUGUUGUGCUUCAUACUCCCCACAUUUGAGCACACAACAGAUAGUUGAUAGUAGAUAGUAAAAUAGGUUUGGUGUAAUAUAUGUAUGUUAAAGAUAGAAACGAGCCAGACCUGAGUUACGCUGUAGUGCAUUGGAGGCUUCUAAACAACAUUGCCCCACCUGGUGGUUAAAAUGAGACUAGCGUCCUGAUUUUCUUCAGCCAGCUGCAGGAUUAAAAAUAUUUGGUCAGCGACACAACUGUUGCGCCAUGGCGACGCAAUGGUACUACAGUGAAAACGCUUGUCAAUUUGGACUGCUACCACUGUAAGGCAACGUAAACCUGCAUUGACACAAUCAGAGUUCUUUCAACAACAGAUGGAGAAAACCACAGCUCACUGUUGUUGUUAAUUUGCGUAGUUAAAAUACGCUGUGUCCGAACAGGUACAAAGUAAUUUUUUUCACAUUUUCAACAAAAGCAGCAUGUCAAAGUAACUGUAUCGUGCGACUGUCAUUUCUUUUAGUGACUUUAUAGUUAGAGCCAGAGGUAAAGGUGAGGUACAUAUGUGCAGUGGGACCUGAUGUAUUAGCAUUAAUUAAUGGAGCUAAACAUGCCUGACAGACUACAGGUCUGACUACAAAAUUUAUGUUGGCUAACAUUGUAAACCUAGUCAAAAAUCCCUAAUAUAUAUUAUUGUAUUAGUGAUUGUGUUUGCCAUUUUGAAAUUCAACCAAACAUGAAGCUCGCCAUGUGGAGUUGGCUAGAGUAAGAAAAUUAGCUGGAUAAACUAGGUGAGGCCUUGUUUGGCCUGAGACUGAAGGGUAAUUUAGAUAGCUUGGGUGACUUUGUAGCUUCCUUAAUGUGAGAUGUAAUUUAAAAUGUGCAGAGGAUGCUUGCAGUUAUUGGUGUGCUCCAUGUGGAGUUAGCUAAUUAGCUAAGCUAGGCACGAAUUUUUAUAUUGGCGGUUGUUUGUUUUAUUUGGCUACAGUUAGCUUAUUUCGUUUUUGGAAUGCCAUGAGACUGGAGUGUCAUUUAGACAGCUUAGGUAACUCUUGUAGCUUCCGUACUGUAAGAUGUAAUUAUAAAUGUGCAGAUGUUUAUCUGAAAGAUGGUAAUUUGGAAGUUAGUUAAGUUGAAAUACUCUGGAGAUGGCAAGUGUUAGCUACAGAGUUAGCUAAUUGGAUGCACAUUCAUUACCUCAAUUGAUAUUAUUCUACACAAAUGUUAUGUCCAUCCAUCCAUUUUCAUCCCCUUAUCCGGGGCCGGGUCGCGGGGGCAGCAGUCUAAGCAGAGAGUUCCAGACUUACCUCUCCCCGGACACUUCUUCCAGCUCUUCCGGUGGGACCCAGCCGAGAGACGUAGUCUCUCCAGCGAGUCCUGGGUCUUCCUCGGGGCCUCCUACCGGUGGGACAUGCCCGGAACACCUCCCCAGGGAGGCGUCCAGGGGGCAUCUGAACUAGAUGCCCGAGCCACCUCAACUGGCUCCUCUCGAUGUGGAGGAGCAGCGACUCUACUCCGAGCUCCUCCCGGGUGACAGAGCUCCUCACCUUAUCUCUAAGGGAGCGCCCAGCCACCCUGUGGAGGAAGCUCAUUUCAGCCGCUUGUAUCCGUGACCUUGCCCUUUCGGUCAUGACCCAAAGCUCAUGACCAUAGGUGAGGGUAGGAACGUAGAUUGACCGGUAAAUUGAGAGCUUUGCCUUUCGGCUCAGCUCCCUCUUCACCACGACGGACCGAUACACCGACCGCAUUACUGCAGCCGCCGCACCGAUCCGUCUGUCAAACUCACGCUCCUUCCUUCCCUCACUCGUGAACAAGACCCCAAGAUACUUAAACUCCUCCACUUGGGGCAGGAACUCUUCUCCAACCUGGAGAGAGCAAACCACCUUUUUCCGGUCGAGAACCAUGGCCUCAGAUUUGGAGGAACUGAUUCUCAUCCCAGCCGCUUCACACUCAGCUGCAAACCGCACCAGUGCACGCUGGAGGCCCUGGCCUGAUGAAGCCAACAGGACAACAUCAUCUGCAAAAAGCAGAGAUGCUAUCCUGUGGUCCCCAAACCAGACCCCCUCCGGCCCCUGGCUGCACCUAGAAAUUCUGUCCAUAAAAAUAAUGAACAGAACUGGUGACAAAGGGCAGCCCUGCCGAAGUCCAACAUGCACCGGGAACAGGUCUGACUUAUUGCUGGCAAUGCGAACCAAGCUCCUGCUCCGGUUGUACAGAGACCGAACAGGCCUUAGCAAAGGGCCCUGGACUCCAUACUCCCGGAGCACCCCCCACAGGAUGUCACGAGGGACGCGGUCGAAUGCCUUCUCCAGAUCCACAAAGCACAUGUAGACUGGUUGGGCAAACUCCCACAAACCCUCAAGCACCCUGCUGAGGGUAUAAAGCUGGUCCAGCGUUCCACGACCAGGCCGAAAACCACAUUGUUCCUCCUGUAUCCGAGGUUCGACUAUCGGCCAAAUUCUCCUCUCCAGUACCCUGGCAUAGACUUUCCCAGGGAGGUGAGAAGUGUGAUCCCCUAUAGUUGGAACACACUCUCCUGUCCCCCUUUUUGUAAAGAGGGACAACCACCCCGGUUGUCCAGUCCAGAGGAACUGUCCCCCUCCUCCACGCGAUGUCGCAGAGGCGUGUCACCCAAGACAGCCCCACAACAUCCAGAGACUUGAGGUACUCAGGACGGAUCUCAUCCACCCCCGCUGCUCUGCCACCGAGGAGCUUACUAACUACCUCGGUGACCUCAGCCUGGGUGAUGGGCGAGUCCACCUCUGAGUCCCCUGCCUCUGCUUCCUCAGCAGAAGGCAUGUCGGAGGGGUUGAGGAGAUCCUCAAAGUACUCCUUCCACCGUCCGAUAACAUCCCCAGUUGAGGUCAACAGCUCCCCACCUCCACUGAAAACAGAGUUGGUAAAGAACUGCUUCCCCCUCCUGAAGCGCCGAACAGUUUGCCAGAAUCUCUUUGAGGCCGAGCGAUAGUCCUCCUCUAUGGCCUCCCCGAACUCCUCCCAAGCCCGAGUUUUUGCCUCCGCAACGGCACGGGCUGCAGCACGCUUGGCCUGCCGGUACCCAUCAGCUGCCUCAGGAGUCCUACAGGUCAACCAUACCUGGUAGGACUCCUUCUUCAGCUUGAUGGCGUCCCUUACCUCCGGCGUCUACCACCGGUUUCGGGGAUUACCACCACGACAGGCACCGGAGUCCCUGCGUCCACAGCUCCGAACGGCCGCGUUGACGAUGGAGACGGAGAACAUGGUCCACUCGGACUCUAUGUCUCCCACCUCCCUCGGAAUCUGGUCGAAGCUCUCCCGGAGGUGUGAGUUAAAGGUACGUCUGACAGAGGGUUCAGCCAGGCGUUCCCAACAGACCCUCACAAUACGUUUGGGCCUGCCAAGUCGUUCCAGCCUCCUUCUCUGCCAGCGGCUCCUACUCACCACAAGGUGGUGAUCAGUUGACAGCUCAGCCCCUCUCUUCACCCGAGUGUCCAAAACAUAUGGCCGAAGGUCAGGUGAAACGACUAGAAAGUCUAUCAUCGACCUCCGGCCUAGGGUGUCCUGGUGCCAUGUGCACCGAUGGACACCCUUAUAUUCGAACAUGGUGUUUGUUAUGGCCAAACUGUGCCUAGCACAGAAGUCCAAUAACAUAACACCAUUCGGGUUCAGAUCAGGGAGGCCGUUCCUCCCAAUCACGCCUCUCCAGGUAUGACUUUUGUUACCUACGUGGGCAUUGAAAUCUCCCAGAAGAACGAUGGGGUCCCCAGUUGGAGCGCUUUCCAACACUCCCUCCAGGGACCCCAAGAAGGCCGGGUACUCCACACUGCCAUUUGGCCCGUAAGCACAAAUGACGGUGAGUGACCUAUCCCCCACCCGAAGGCGCAGGGAAGCGACCCUCUCGUCCACCGGAGAAAACUCCAACACAUGGCGACUAAGCUGGGGAGCUAUGAGCAAGCCCACACCAGCCCGCGGCCUCUCACCGCAGGCAACUCCAGAGUAGAAAAGGGUCCAGCCCCUCUCAAGGAGUUGGGUUCCAGAGCCCAGGCUGUGUGUGGAGGUGACCUCCUGCACAAGCUCAGGCUCCUUUCCCCCCAGUGAAGUGACAUUCCAUGUCCCAAUAGCCAGAUUGGUUAUCCAGGGAUUGGGUGGGUCGCCUAGGCUCCCGCUUUUGACUGCUGCCCAAUCCACUCUGCACCGGCCCCCUACGGUUCCUCCUGCGGAUGGUGGGUCCACUUGAGGACGGCCCCACGUCGCUCUUUCGGGCUGUGCCCGGCCACCAGGCGCUCGCAUAUGAACCCCAACCCCGGGCCUGGCUCCAGGGUGGGGCCCCGGCUGCGCCAUACCAGGCGUCGUCUCUGGCCUUGGUGGUUUGCCUUUCAGAGGCAAAUGUUAUGUCUCAUUUAUUUUUGAUUGAUAGUAAAGCAUCAGCAUCAUCAUGCAUGUUAUAUCUUAAGCAGAUUAAAUGCGGGAAUCAAACAUGGGUCCCCCACACCAAAGUCAAAAAUUAAAGCUGUUGAGCCACAGCAUUUCAUAGCUGAAAGAGGACAUAGCUGAAAAGCUUUCUCUAAAUGCUUAAUAGUUUUAGCAUAUUGUAGCAGCCAAGGGGGGUUAUUCCUCCCCUGAGCCGCUAUGGCUUAUGGGUACAGUAACCGUUCUUGUGUUUAUAGUGUUAUAAUUAAAGUUAGGAUUUAAGAAAUGUUAUAACUUUGGUGAAAUUAAUUUAGCCUUUUGUUAAUGUGUGUUUAUAAUGUAUUCUUGUUUCAUGUGGUGCACCCUGAGUGAGGAGAGUGUGUGUUUGAGUGACCCUCAGGGCAAAGUGAUAUGUGUCCUGGAAAUUGAAUAAUAAUAAUAAAGGCAGAUGAAAGAGUUGUCUUUUUUGUGAAAUUUAUUGUAAUAACAGAGAAUAAUAAUGGGAAAAGCAAACCAAAAGCCAGUAGUGGAGAUCAAAACAUACACCACAGAGGUAUAAGGUAUAUAAGGUAUUUUAACCCAUCUGUUCGACUGGGGUGGAAUGUCUUGUUUGUUACACUGUAAUCUCCAGUACAAGAGACCAGGUCGCCCUCGCACAUCAAAGUGGUUAUUUUGUUAGCCUGUGGUUUGCUAAUACAGGUUUCCUAACUUAGGCCGAGGCAAAGGAAUUCAUCCAGCUAAUUCACUGCUUUUAAUCCUCAUGUCCACCCUGCUUCACACGCAAGGGCACCUGUACAGACCAGAAUAUUACAGAUACCAAGGAGUCACAAUGAGUUAUAGCAGCUUCCUUCUUAUAUGUAAUUGUUGUUGUGGUUGCUGGAAAUGUUUUCAGUUGUAAGUUUCCUUAUGCAGCCUGGCUCAGUCACACACAACCUGUAGCUUUUCACAUCAACGAGGAGAGGCUACGAAUUCAUUUGAAGAAACCUUUUGCACAAUAUAAUAAGAGAGAGGACGCUGUUACUUUAAUUUCAAAGUUGUUUAUAUAGCAAAAGCAAACAGCAAGUGAUAAAUCAAUCAAGGAUUAAAUAUUUUGAUCAACAA